rnacentral:rRNA from 1 species
GUUGAACGCUGGCGGCAUGCCUAACACAUGCAAGUCGAACGGUAACACGAAGCCGCGUUCGGCUUUUCGAACGACGAGCGGGCGGGUGACUAAUGGCUGGGAAACUGCCUGAUGGAGGGUGAUAACUACUGAAAACGGUAGCUAAUACCGCAUAACGUCGCAAGGCCGAAGAGGGGGACCGUCGUUCCGCUGUCCGUCGGGUUUGCGCAGAUGGGAUUAGCUGGUGGGGGGGGUAACUGCUCACCUAGGCGACGGUCCCUAGCUGGUCUGGGAGGAUGACCCGCCCCAAUGGAACUGAGACACGGAUCAGACUCGUAAGGGAGGCCGCAGUGGGGAAUAUUGCAGCAUGGGGGAAAAUUUGACGCAGCGAUGAAGAGUGUAUGAAGAAGGCCUUCGGGUUGAAAAGUACUUUCAGCGGGGAGGCAGCGAGUACAGGUAAUAAAUCGGCUUAUUGACGUUACCCGCAGAAGAAGCACCGGCUAACUACGUG